AUCACCUCUCUUGGUGUUUUCUGGUGAGCUCAGCUAAAGGGUGCUCAAGACCAGGUUGGAUGAGGCCCUGGGAAGUCUGGCCUGCUGGCUGGUAAUCCUGCCUACAGCAGGGCAUUGGAACUGGGUGAUGUUUAAGGCCCCUUCCAACCCAAGCCAUUCUGUGAUAUGAUUCUAUGGUUUAAAGAGGGGCUCCAGGUGUACCCAGAUGAAACAGUUGUGGUCAUCAAAAGCCAAUUCCACACUUGCAAGUCUUGCUCCUGGCCUUGUUAAUUAAUGCAAAUGACCUUGAAGCCUAAUUACUCAAAGUCACAGUGAAAGCCUUGGAGCAGGGCUGAGGCAAUGCCCUGGCAUGGGUUUGUUGAGAGACAGUGCAGCAGCUGUGUUGUGUCGAUGGCUUUCACCUGGUGUUCAGGUUCCAUAAAGUUGAGUCUAAAAUCUCCUGUGCAGAGUUUUCCAAUUAUUUAAGAACACCUUCUACACCAAAGUAGUUGGAGCAGAGAAAUUAGAUGCACUCCCUCUAAAUAAAGGACUUCUCAAAGGCAUGCCUGGAUGAUAGCAUAUUCUCGUUCUAACUCAAGCUGUAGGACAAGUUUUAGUCAACAUUUCAUGCACUUCCAAGCAUCAGAGACAUCCAGCUCCUCUGCUGCCCUGGAACCUCCCGCACUGUGGCCUCCUUAGCAAUUAGUGCCUCAGGACGACCAUCCUCUGAGAACACCAGCAGCACCAUCACCGAGGCUAACACAACUACCUCAGCAGCUCCAGUCUGCUUACUCUGUUCCACUGUUUACUCUGAUGCUCACUUUCAAAGGGCAUUUCAUGUAGAAUUACUGAAAAAUGUGCUGGCAGAUGCUGCAGCUAAGAAUAACACGAAGCAGUCAGGUGAUUUGCAUAUGAAUUUCUGCUGGUGAAGAUGAGUAAUCUGACAUUCUUGUUUUCUUAAAUUAAAAUCCCACUCGGAAUAUUUUCCCUAUGGCAAAUUGUUAAUAGUGUAUCAAUUUGGUUUUGAAAUCAAAUCAAAUAAAAACUUUCAGAGCAUCUAUAAAC